AACCCAUGGUGAGGGCACCUUCUCAAUAGGUCCUUGUAUCUCUGCCAUGAAUCAUAAAGAGCUUCUAGAUUCAUCUGCACAAAAGAAGAGAUAUCAUUCCUCAAUUU
rnacentral:snoRNA from 1 species